GACAGAGGUAACCCUGAGGUUCAUGAAAUUAUAUAGAGACAGAAAGAGACCAUCAGAGAAAGGAGAUACAGAGAGACGGAUGAAUACUGCAUUAUGAGCAAACUUCAGAAAUACACAUAUUCUGCUGCAGCCAGAUCCACUUCACAGGAAUGUCUGAUCUACUCUCUUCGGAGUCAUGUGAAGUAUAUGGUCAGUCAGUGUAUA